rnacentral:rRNA from 1 species
CCUACGGGAGGCAGCAGUGGGGAAUAUUGCACAAUGGGGGAAACCCUGAUGCAGCGACGCCGCGUGAGUGAAGAAGUAUUUCGGUAUGUAAAGCUCUAUCAGCAGGGAAGAAAAUGACGGUACCUGAUUCAGAAGCCCCGGCUAACUACGUGCCAGCAGCCGCGGUAAUACGUAGGGGGCAAGCGUUAUCCGGAUUUACUGGGUGUAAAGGGAGCGUAGACGGCAGCACAAGUCUGGAGUGAAAUGCCGGGGCUUAACCCCGGAACUGCUUUGGAAACUGUGCAGCUAGAGUGCAGGAGAGGUAAGUGGAAUUCCGAGUGUAGCGGUGAAAUGCGUAGAUAUUAGGAGGAACACCAGUGGCGAAGGCGGCUUACUGGACUGUAACUGACGUUGAGGCUCGAAAGCGUGGGGAGCAAACAGGAUUAGAUACCCGGGUAGUC